rnacentral:rRNA from 1 species
AGUAAAAGUCGUAACAAGGUUUCCGUAGGUGAACCUGCGGAAGGAUCAUUAAUGGAUUUACAGAGGGUUGAUGCUGGCAGUUUAUCUGCAUGUGCUCACUCUUCUGAUUUUAUUUACACCUGUGCACUUAAUUUUCUUUCAAGGGUCAGGGGUAGAACCUGCCUUUGGAACUUAUAAACCCCCUAUAUUGAACCAAUGGAUGUUUAUCUGCCACAAGGCAAAUUUUAAUACAACUUUUAACAACGGAUCUCUUGGCUCUCGCAUCGAUGAAGAACGCAGCGAAAUGCGAUAAGUAAUGUGAAUUGCAGAAUUCAGUGAAUCAUCGAAUCUUUGAACGCACCUUGCGCUCUCUGGUAUUCCGGGGAGCACACCUGUUCGAGUGUCAUUAAGACUCUCAAAUAAAGGUGGCUUUGCAGCCAUCUCUGUUCGGAUUUGGGCUUUGCUGCAUUAAUGUGGCUAGUCUUAAAUGUAUUAGCUGGUCCUCAUUGGGGGGUUUUGGUUCUACUCAGCGUGAUAAUUAUCUAACGUUGAGGACAGUCUCAGAACUGGCCAUAGCUCUCUCUGGAUUGCUUCUAAAUUGUCUUGAGGACAGUUGCUUAAUUUCUGACCUCGAAUCAGGUGGGACUACCCGCUGAACUUAA